GGGCCCGCACAAGCGGUGGAGCAUGUGGUUUAAUUCGAUGAUACGCGAGGAACCUUACCAGGGCUUAAAUGCAGAGCGACAGAGGUGGAAACACCUCCUUCUUCGGACGGUCUGCAAGGUGCUGCAUGGUUGUCGUCAGCUCGUGCUGUGAAGUGUCGGGUUAAGUCCCAUAACGAGCGCAACCCCUAUUUCUAGUUGCCAGCGGUUCGGCCGGGGACUCUAGAGAAACUGCCAGCGUAAGCUGUGAGGAAGGUGGGGAUGACGUCAAAUCAUCACGGCCCUUACGUCCUGGGCCACACACGUGCUACAAUGGUAAGGACAGAGAGUUGCCAACCCGCGAGGGUGAGCUAAUCUUUAAACCUUAUCUCAGUUCGGAUCGAAGUCUGCAACUCGACUUCGUGAAGUUGGAAUCGCUAG
rnacentral:rRNA from 1 species